UUGAACGCUGGCGGCAUGCCUUACACAUGCAAGUCGAACGGUAACGCGGGGCAACCUGGCGACGAGUGGCGAACGGGUGAGUAAUAUAUCGGAACGUGCCCAGUAGUGGGGGAUAGCCCGGCGAAAGCCGGAUUAAUACCGCAUACGACCUAUGGGUGAAAGCGGGGGAUCGCAAGACCUCGCGCUAUUGGAGCGGCCGAUAUCAGAUUAGGUAGUUGGUGGGGUAAAGGCCUACCAAGCCGACGAUCUGUAGCUGGUCUGAGAGGACGACCAGCCACACUGGGACUGAGACACGGCCCAGACUCCUACGGGAGGCAGCAGUGGGGAAUUUUGGACAAUGGGCGCAAGCCUGAUCCAGCAAUGCCGCGUGCAGGAAGAAGGCCUUCGGGUUGUAAACUGCUUUUGUACGGAGCGAAAAGGCUCUCUCUAAUACAGGGGGCUCAUGACGGUACCGUAAGAAUAAGCACCGGCUAGCUACGU
rnacentral:rRNA from 1 species